rnacentral:rRNA from 1 species
CGAGGACGAACGCUGGCGGCGUGCCUAACACAUGCAAGUCGAACGGAAGUUAGAGCUUCGGUUUUAACUUUAGUGGCGAACGGGUGAGUAACGCGUGAAGGACCUGCCUUUCAGUGGGGGACAACAGUUGGAAACGACUGCUAAUACCGCAUGAAACUUCGAGAGGGCAUCCUCUUGAAGUCAAAGCUUUAUGUGCUGAAAGAUGGCUUCGCGUCUGAUUAGCUAGUUGGUGGGGUAACGGCCCACCAAGGCGACGAUCAGUAGCCGGUCUGAGAGGAUGAACGGCCACAUUGGGACUGAGAUACGGCCCAGACUCCUACGGGAGGCAGCAGUGGGGAAUAUUGGGCAAUGGGCGAAAGCCUGACCCAGCAACGCCGCGUGAAGGAAGAAGGCCUUCGGGUUGUAAACUUCUUUUACCAGGGACGAAGAACGUGACGGUACCUGGAGAAAAAGCCACGGCUAACUACGUG